rnacentral:lncRNA from 1 species
CAGGAGGCUAGAUCAGGCAUCAGCCUCCCACUUAAAGAAUCAACAAGACACACCACGGGACAUAACCUCUUGGCAGCACAUUUACCAAAGCAGAAGUUAAGGCACAGAAUUCUACAACCAGAACUUUAACCAGACCCUCCAGGGUGGACUUCGACAUUCAGAGCCCAGUCCCUUGUGUGGUACAGGUGGCAGCAAUGUGGGUAGAGGAAGACUCAACUCCUUCCUACAACACAGGGCAGAAAUUAAUACUUAUAAAGGUAAACUUGACUUAAAAAAGAAAAUAUUAUGGUGAAUCUACUCUGAUUAUGAAGAAUGGAGAAAUGUGGUAUAUGUUUCAGACCAGAUAGAUUUCUAUCAGAAGUAUUUUUAAAAAUAUUUACGUUAGGGUGCUUAAAUAUAUAACCUUCUAUGAUCUAGAACACUGAC